UCCUACGGGGGGCAGCAGUGGGGGAUAUUGCACAAUGGGGGAAACCCUGAUGCAGCGACGCCGCGUGUGGGAAGACGGUCUUCUGGAUUGUAAACCACUGUCCCCAGGGACGAAAAUGACGGUACCUGGGGAGGAAGCUCCGGCUAACUACGUGCCAGCAGCCGCGGUAAUACGUAGGGAGCAAGCGUUGUCCGGAAUUACUGGGUGUAAAGGGCGAGUAGGCGGGAUUGCAAGUCAGAUGUGAAAACUAUGGGCUCAACCGAUAGAGUGCAUUUGAAACUGCAGUUCUUGAGUGAUGGAGAGGG
rnacentral:rRNA from 1 species